AUUGAACGCUGGCGGCAUGCCUUACACAUGCAAGUCGAACGGCAGCGCGGACUUCGGUCUGGCGGCGAGUGGCGAACGGGUGAGUAAUGUAUCGGAACGUACCAUUCAGUGGGGGAUAACGCAGCGAAAGUUGCGCUAAUACCGCAUAUUCUGUGCGCAGGAAAGCAGGGGAUCGCAAGACCUUGCGCUGAUUGAGCGGCCGAUAUCAGAUUAGCUAGUUGGUGAGGUAAAGGCUCACCAAGGCGACGAUCUGUAGCGGGUCUGAGAGGAUGAUCCGCCACACUGGAACUGAGACACGGUCCAGACUCCUACGGGAGGCAGCAGUGGGGAAUUUGGACAAUGGGCGCAAGCCUGAUCCAGCCAUGCCGCGUGAGUGAAGAA
rnacentral:rRNA from 1 species